rnacentral:ribozyme from 1 species
UGCCCAGCAGCACUUAUCCCUACCUUCUCGUGGUACUGGCCGGGGUUACGAGUUACCUUAGGGAAGAUCGGGUAACCAACUCCGGUGGGAGCUUUGGUCGUAUGCUGACAAGAAAAG